rnacentral:rRNA from 1 species
UAACGUUAACAAUAUGAAUUUAUUGUCACCGGAAGUCCAAGGUUUUCUACGCAAGUUUAACCGCGUAGAGUUAGUCGGUCUCUAAGGUAAAUGUGAUUACAUUUUCUAAUGAGUAUGGUUUUAAUAAUUCCAAUUUAAUUGAACAGUGACAGGAAGGUAAGCUAAAUGCUUAACUAAAUUUUGAUAAUUACAGGCUUUUAUUAAUAUUUUUCCUUCUUCAAGAAAAAACUACAGUUAGAUUUAAUUUUUAAUCAGUAACCGUACCUUAAACCGCCACUGGUGGACAAAUGAAGAGCAUCAAGGUGAUGGGAGAACAGUAUUGAAGGAACUCGGCAAAUUACACUCGUAACUUAGGGAAAAGAGUGACCGAAAACUCACUUUAAAAAGAUUUGGAUGUUACAGGUAAAAAUCUUGUAAUUAGAAAAAUUUAUAACUUUAGUGAUUAAUUUUCGGUGUCACAAAAUUGGGGGUAGCGACUGUUUAUUAAAAACACAGGAUUCUGCUAAGUAGUGAUAUGAUGUAUAGAAUCUGACGCCUGCCCAGUGCCGUAAGGUAAAGAAGUUGAUGUUUACGCAUUGCUUUGAAGCCCCCGGUAAACGGCAGCCGUAACUAUAACGGUUCGAAGGUAGCGAAAUUCCUUGUCGGGUAAGUUCCGACCUGCACGAAUGGCGUAACGACUUCCCCGCUGUCUCCAGUACUGACCCAGUGAAAUUGAAUUCUCCGUGCAGAUGCGGAGUACUAGCAGCUAGACGGAAAGACCCUAUGCACCUUUACUGCAUCUUUACAUUGCUUCUGAAGAGUUGUUUGCGUAGUGUAAAUGGGAGCUUAUUACGUCUAUAUUUUGGUAUAUUGCGUAGGCGAAAAGUGAAACACCAUUCUAAUUUAAUUCUUUAGAGCUAAUAAAAAAUUGGACAGUGUAUGGUUGGUAGUUUUGCUGGGGCGGCAGGCUCCUAAAGAGUAACGGAGCUGCGCAAAGGUAGACUCAAAAUAACACUUUGUUAUUUGUAGAGCGUAAUGGUAUAAGUCUGCUUGACUGAAAAGUUGAUGAACUAAUCAGGGACAUAAAAAGUCGGCCAUAAAGAUCCGAUAGUUUCGAGUGGAAGAGCUAUCGCUCAACGGAUAAAAGGUACGCUAGGGAUAACAGGCUAAUGACUCUUGAGAGAUCCCAUCGACGGGGUUGUUUGGCACCUCGAUGUUGACUCAUCACAGCCUGGGGCUGAAGCAGGUCCCAAGGGUUCGGCUGUUCGCCGAUUAAAGUGGUACGUGAGUUGAGUUUAGAACGUCGUGAGACAGUUUGGACCCUAUCUACUGCUAGCGUUUAGAAUUGAGAAUUGCUUUUCUUUGUACGAGAGGACCAGGAAGGCUAUACCUAUGGUAUACUGGUUGUUUUGACCAAAAGCACGGCCAGAAAGCUACGUAUAAAAAUAUAACUACAGAAAGCAUCUACGUGGGAAAAUAAUUUCAAGAUUAAUUCUAACUACAUGGUUGUAGACUACAACCUUAAUAGGCUGAAAGUGUAAAUAUUGUAAGAUACUUAGCUCGUCAGUACUACUACAUAAUAAGGAGGUCUUUU